GUUAAAGCCUCGGCGGUGCGCGUGUUGUGUGCGCGUUAGAGCCCUGCCCUGCGUAUUCGAACCGAGCCGAGCCGCGCCCAGCCCAUUAGAGCCGUGCCCCGCACAUUAGAGCCGUGCCCCGCACAUUAGAGCCGUGCCGUGCCGUGCCGUGCCGUGCCGUGCCGUGCCACGCUGCGCACGUUUGAGCCGUGGUGCGGUGUACUGUGGUGCGCGCAUUGGAAGCACGGUGCGCGCAGAAGAGCGUGGGGCGGGGUGCCUCGCGUGUCGCGUGUGCGUUGCAGUCGCGGGGCGCCGUGUCCUGCGCGUGUGCGAUGGGCGCCGCCAGCCCCGCGUACGGCGGAGGUGCGAGGCGCCUGCUCGCAGAAACGGCGAGAACGUGCAUACACCUUCCUUGAAAAUGCCAUAUCAAAGUCAAUUAUUGGAAUUUCAAGACUCCUCCACUGCCUUCAUGCAAAUGUAACAAGAAUGACGUUUAUCACCUGCUUGCAACAAAAAGAAAGAAAGAAUGUGCUGUAAUACUAAAUGCUGUGGAUAAAGAGAAAGAGUGUCCUACUGCUUUGAAAGAGAGAAUUUGAUUUGAUUUUCUGUGGACCAUCAUACAAAUGCAUGGCUUUCCUAUCAAAUGACUGCAUCUCUUCUUCCAAUGGUAGUGAAAGCACUAGAUAUAAUUCAAAGGAAAAGGCAGCUUUCCAACAUCUGUUAGUUAUUAGUUAUUCAAUUUUAUGUUGUCAUAUUCAUGAGAAAAUGUUACUUGUUCACCAUUUUGUCAUUUUUCCAUAUUUGAUUUUCUCCUUUGCUGCACCUCUGAAAUCCCAGCUCUGCAUUGCAUAGUGUUUUUACUCCAUUUGUUAAUCUAGUACUAAUGGUCCAAUUGAUAAAUCAAUGAAAUGAGUAGGAAAUAAAUUUCAUUAACUUCUUAGAGAUUAUGUCAACAAACACAGUUUCCCGUAUGAACCCACGUGACUCUUGACCCAUUGUUGACUAAACAGUUUGUGUCAAAGAACUGUGUACUAAGUCCAGUUUAUGUUUAUCUGACUCAAACAGGUUGUAACUGACCAAAAUUUUUAACACGGUUGUGUAAAGAAAAUUUCAAAGAGACUGUA